rnacentral:tRNA from 1 species
GGGGGCGCAUGGGUCCCUGGUGGGCUCCGCGGACUUCAAAUCCGUUGUCCCGUACUGAGAGGUGCGGGGGGUGGGUUCGAUUCCCACACGCCCCC